AUUGAACGCUGGCGGCAGGCCUAACACAUGCAAGUCGAGCGGAUGAAGGGAGCUUGCUCCUGGAUUCAGCGGCGGACGGGUGAGUAUGCCUAGGAAUCUGCCUGGUAGUGGGGGACAACGUUUCGAAAGGAACGCUAAUACCGCAUACGUCCUACGGGAGAAAGCAGGGGACCUUCGGGCCUUGCGCCAUCAGAUGAGCCUAGGUCGGAUUAGCUAGUUGGUGAGGUAUGGCUCACCAAGGCGACGAUCCGUAACUGGUCUGAGAGGAUGAUCAGUCACACUGGAACUGAGACACGGUCCAGACUCCUACGGGAGGCAGCAGUGGGGAAUAUUGGACAAUGGGCGAAAGCCUGAUCCAGCCAUGCCGCGUGUGUGAAGAAGGUCUUCGGAUUGUAAAGCACUUUAAGUUGGGAGGAAGGGUUGUAGAUUAAUACUCUGCAAUUUUGACGUUACCGACAGAAUAAGCACCGGCUAACUCUGUGCCAGCCGCCGCCGUAAAAC
rnacentral:rRNA from 1 species